rnacentral:rRNA from 1 species
UAGGGAAUCUUCCACAAUGGACGCAAGUCUGAUGGAGCAACGCCGCGUGAGUGAAGAAGGUCUUCGGAUCGUAAAGCUCUGUUGUUGGUGAAGAAGGAUAGAGGCAGUAAAUGGUCUUUAUUUGACGGUAAUCAACCAGAAAGUCACGGCUAACUACGUGCCAGCAGCCGCGGUAAUACGUAGGUGGCAAGCGUUGUCCGGAUUUAUUGGGCGUAAAGCGAGCGCAGGCGGAAUGAUAAGUCUGAUGUGAAAGCCCACGGCUCAACCGUGGAACUGCAUCGGAAACUGUCAUUCUUGAGUGCAGAAGAGGAGAGUGGAACUCCAUGUGUAGCGGUGGAAUGCGUAGAUAUAUGGAAGAACACCAGUGGCGAAGGCGGCUCUCUGGUCUGCAACUGACGCUUAGGCUCGAAAGCAUGGGUAGCGAACAGGAUUAGAUACCCUGGUAGUCCAUGCCGUAAACGAUGAGCGCUAGGUGUUGGGGACUUUCCGGUCCUCAGUGCCGCAGCAAA